GUGAGGAAUAUUGCGCAAUGGAGGCAACUCUGACGCAGCCAUGCCGCGUGCAGGAAGAAGGCGCUACGCGUUGUAAACUGCUUUUAACCGGGAAGAAACCCCAGGACGUGUCCUGGGUUGACGGUACCGGAGGAAUAAGCACCGGCUAACUUCGUGCCAGCAGCCGCGGUAAUACGAAGGGUGCAAGCGUUAUCCGGAUUCAUUGGGUUUAAAGGGUGCGUAGGCGGAGCGUUAAGUCAGUGGUGAAAUCCUGCAGCUUAACUGUAGACUUGCCAUUGAUACUGGCGCUCUUGAGUGCGCUUGAAGUGGGCGGAAUGUGCCGUGUAGCGGUGAAAUGCUUAGAUAUGGCACAGAACACCAAUUGCGAAGGCAGCUCACUAAGGCGAUACUGACGCUGAGGCACGAAAGCGUGGGGAUCGAACAGGAUUAGAUACCCGAGAGUCC
rnacentral:rRNA from 1 species